rnacentral:snoRNA from 1 species
AGCCUCCUGUUACUCUCCAUAAAUUGUUCUUACACUGACUGUAUAGAAAGAGAAGGUGAAGGAAACCUACCCCUUGUACACCUUAGCCAGGCCCUGUGUCUGGUUUGUACUGUGAAUGCAGAGACACUG